CGAACGGGUGAGUAACACGUGAGCAACCUGCCCCAAGCUUUGGGAUAACCCUCGGAAACGGGGGCUAAUACCGAAUAGGACUUCCGGCCGCAUGGCUGGGGGUGGAAAGUUUUUCGGCUUGGGAUGGGCUCGCGGCCUAUCAGCUUGUUGGUGGGGUGAUGGCCUACCAAGGCGACGACGGGUAGCCGGCCUGAGAGGGCGACCGGCCACACUGGGACUGAGACACGGCCCAGACUCCUACGGGAGGCAGCAGUGGGGAAUAUUGCACAAUGGGCGGAAGCCUGAUGCAGCGACGCCGCGUGAGGGAUGACGGCCUUCGGGUUGUAAACCUCUUUCAGCAGGGACGAAGCGAGAGUGACGGUACCUGCAGAAGAAGCACCGGCCAACUACGUGCCAGCAGCCGCGGUAAGACGUAGGGUGCGAGCGUUGUCCGGAUUUAUUGGGCGUAAAGAGCUCGUAGGCGGCUUGUCGCGUCGACCGUGAAAACUUGGGGCUCAACCCCAAGCCUGCGGUCGAUACGGGCAGGCUAGAGUUCGGUAGGGGAGACUGGAAUUCCUGGUGUAGCGGUGAAAUGCGCAGAUAUCAGGAGGAACACCGGUGGCGAAGGCGGGUCUCUGGGCCGAUACUGACGCUGAGGAGCGAAAGCGUGGGGAGCGAACAGGAUUAGAUACCCUGGUAGUCCACGCUGUAAACGUUGGGCGCUAGGUGUGGGGGACCUCUCCGGUUUCCUGUGCCGCAGCUAACGCAUUA
rnacentral:rRNA from 1 species